GGAUUAUUACCCACCAAUGCCACGGUCACCAAAGUUCAUCUUACCCAACUUAUUCUGAAGUGGCGAAUCGCAGUUCCAUCGCCCAUUAUGAUCCCAUCAGCUUCCGCCAAAUCCCAGAAGCCAAAACCAAUCCACACGAUAAUACAAUGCAAACCACCGCCAUUCCCCCUUUCAAUCCCCCCGUUGCUUUUCCCUCAAAUCUCCCUCGUUUCCCUCCAAUAAUCCGCCAUUUCCCCUCUCCAUCUAAGCUUCGCGUCCCCAUAGCUAUGGCUUCUUCGCCUUCUGGGCUCGCCGUCGGGUCUCGAACAGGGGCAGAUUCGAGCGGGGCAGCCAUUGAUGGCCUCUGUACUUUGACUGAUUUUGUGGGUAAGGGAGGGAUUGGUUUGGGAGAUGAUUUAGUGCUGCUGUUGACUCAUAUUCAGUAUGCUUGCAAGAAAAUUGCCGCUCUCGUUGCUUCUCCCUUCAGUUCCGAUCUUCAAUAUCUGGCGGGUUUGGCUGCCGGCGGAGGUGUGGUUGUUGGGUCGGAGAGGGAUGCACCCAAGCCGCUCGACAUUGUGUCUAAUGAAAUCAUCUUAUCAUCCCUUAGAAAUUCCGGAAAAGUUGCUGUGAUGGCUUCAGAAGAAGAUGAUGAACCAGUUUGGAUUAGAGAUGAUGGCCCAUUUGUGGUGGUAACAGAUCCUCUUGAUGGUUCUCGAAAUAUUGAUGCAUCGAUACCUACGGGCACAAUUUUUGGGGUUUAUAAACGUCUUGUUGAACUCGAUAAUUUACCAAGAGAAGAGAAGGCCGUGCUUAAUUCUCUACAGAGUGGGUCUAAACUUUUGGCAGCUGGAUAUGUUCUCUACUCAUCAGCCACAAUACUUUGUGCCAGCUUUGGUUCCGGGACACAUGCAUUUACACUGGACCAUUCAACAGGAGACUUCAUUCUGACUCAUCCUCAUAUCAAAAUCCCUCCUCGAGGGCAAAUAUAUUCCGUAAAUGAUGCAAGAUAUUUCGAUUGGCCAGAAGGAUUGCGGCAAUAUAUCGACACAAUCAGACAGGGGAAAGGCAAAAAUCCAAAGAAGUACUCUGCCCGUUACAUAUGUUCUCUGGUUGCUGAUCUCCAUCGAACUUUAUUGUACGGGGGAGUGGCAAUGAAUCCAAGAGACCAUCUUCGUUUAGUAUAUGAAGCAAACCCUCUUAGCCUCCUCGUCGAGCAAGCUGGAGGCCGAGGUUCAGAUGGUAAAAACCGAAUUCUCUCAAUGCAGCCAGGUAAGCUGCAUCAAAGGUUGCCUUUGUUCUUAGGGAGUUUGGAGGACAUGGAGGAGCUUGAAAGCUAUGGAGAUGUACAGCAGAAAGUGAAUCCUGGUUAUGAAGUUUGAAGUUGUGAUUGACAAUGAAGUUUAAAAUGUAAAAAUCAAUCUUCAAAACAAAAAGAGCUAGGCGACGAAACCCUAGCCGUCAUCGAUGAGAACCAACCACAGACUUCUUCAACAAACCCCAUGGGAACCGACGGAGCUCUGAGUGUUAACAUGAAGACAGCCAUUCAAGCGGCUGUGAAGGAGUAUCUCCAAGCCGCCCUACCAUAGCUGAUCCCAGCCGCUGCUAGUAGAGGAGAGAUUUAACCUUGUCGAGAUGUUCCAGCUGCUGCAUGAGGGAGGGUCGUCUGUGUCGUUCCAGAUUGAAGCUGCCUUUGACAAUCAGAGAUGCUCGAUCGCACCGUCCGCGUCGUCCCAAACCGAAGUAGCCUUCGUCGAUUAGAUACGCUCGAUCGGGCCGAGCCGCGUCGGUGGGUUGCUGUCGAGCUCUUCGUCCGCGCCGGUCGCGCCGUUCAUGCCGAUCGUUCAAGUUCCUACCCAGUCGAUGCCUUCCUGUGUGUCGAGUUGAGCAGCAGAGCAGCCUCCGUUUGUGAGUUAUCCAACCGGCAGAUUGAGUCCAGCUUUUACGGCUGCUUCUGCCUCUGUCCAGCUGUCCGUAGGAGCUUCUUUUCCAGUCGCGUCCAAUCAUGGUGGCUCGACCCAAUACCCAGAUGAAAACCCGGUAAAUUCUUUCCCUAUUUUACCCAGUACAAAUAUCCUGCCUGGGCUCUCCUCAGUUGACAGUACGACCAACCUGAGUACGGUUGGAAUCAGUACUAUUGCCCAGUGAUAACUUGUAGAAAUACAAGUUAUUGUGGCUCAAAAGUUGGAAAAAUUAGGGCAUUUAAUGAUAAAAUUUCAUCAUUUUUAAAAGAAACGCAUUGAAUUACUCGAACACUAUCAAACUCAUGCAAAAAAAUGUUUAUUGCUAAAAUACUGCGGCACUAACGCAUGAUAUUGUAGGAUCUCAACAAAGUCUAAUGCAUGAUUAAGAAAAGUACUGCAGGCAAAUUCUAAUGCAUGGGGCAUGCAUCGGAGGGAUUCAACGCAAGGAAGAUUCAUUGAUUCAGGCUGUUUGUGUCAAAUCACCACUUGCAAGCAUGGGCAUCUGUAGCGGGCGGCGUUUGAAAAGCAUCUGAGUGUCAGGCGAUCGACCAGGGUAUAGAAUUUAAUGCUGCCUAUCAUUAAGUUGACAAAGACAGACGCUUAUAAAUAGAAGAAAUCCCACCAGAUGAAAGGGCUGGAGCUUUAGAAUCUUAAAUCUUUUAACUCAUUACAUAAUUCUGAAACCGUAGAGCUGUGCUGUGGUGACGAGAAGAACAAGAGGGAAGAGAACCACCACCAUCGUCGAUCAAGGAGCGGAGGAAACUGAGCUUGAGAGAGGCAUUUCUUCCAAUUCUUCCACAAGUGGUUGUACACGAACCAGAAUUGAGCCAAAGAGGACAAGAGAUUGUACUCCGCAACUUGACUUCUUUUAUUUCAUCUUACUUAUCGCUUUCAUCUUCUCAUUUGAUUAAGUAUUGGUUUUGUAAAGAUAAUCAGUUUCUUUAUAAAUUCACAUAUUUGAUCUA